UAGGGAAUCUUCCACAAUGGACGCAAGUCUGAUGGAGCAACGCCGCGUGAGUGAAGAAGGUUUUCGGACCGUAAAGCUCUGUUGUUGGUGAAGAAGGAUAGAGGUAGUAACUGGCCUUUAUUUGACGGUAAUCAACCAGAAAGUCACGGCUAACUACGUGCCAGCAGCCGCGGUAAUACGUAGGUGGCAAGCGUUGUCCGGAUUUAUUGGGCGUAAAGCGAGCGCAGGCGGAAGAAUAAGUCUGAUGUGAAAGCCCUCGGCUUAACCGAGGAAUUGCAUCGGAAACUGUUUUUCUUGAGUGCAGAAGAGGAGAGUAGAACUCCAUGUGUAGCGGUGGAAUGCGUAGAUAUAUGGAAGAAUACCAGUGGCGAAGGCGGCUCUCUGGUCUGCAAACUGACGCUGAGGCUCGAAAAGCAUGGGUAGCGAACAGGAUUAGAUACCCUGGUAGUCCAUGCCGUAAAACGAUGAGUGCUAAGUGUUGGAGGGUUUCCGCCCUUCAGUGCUGCAGCUAACGCAUUAAGCACUCCGCCUGGGGGAGUACGACCGCAAGGUUGAAAC
rnacentral:rRNA from 1 species